rnacentral:rRNA from 1 species
CACGGGUGGAGUAACGCGUAGAUAACCUGUCUUCAUGUCUGGAAUAAUACGCCGAAAGGGGUACUAAUACCGGAUAUUCUUGCUUUUCAUAAGUUAUGCAAGCAAAGGUGGCCUCUGCAUAUGCUACUGCAUGAAGAGGGGUCUGCGUACCAUUAGCUAGUAGGUGGGGUAAUGGCCUACCUAGGCGACGAUGGUUAGCGGGUCUGAGAGGAUGAUCCGCCACACUGGCACUGGAACACGGGCCAGACUCCUACGGGAGGCAGCAGUGAGGAAUAUUGCGCAAUGGGGGAAACCCUGACGCAGCGACGCCGCGUGAGUGAGGAAGGCCUUCGGGUCGUAAAGCUCUGUCAAGAGGAAAGAAGUGUACAAUGGCUAAUACCUGUUGUAUUUGACGGUACCUCCAAAGGAAGCACCGGCUAACUCCGUGCCAGCCGCCGC